UUAUUUUUAUUUACACAAUCCACUUAUAUUGAUCGAUUCCUUAUUAAUAAACUCAUUUACUUUUCGUUGCAGGACAAAUGUGUCUGGCGCCUGGAACAGGAGACGCAGAUGGCUCAAAACUUCAAGAAGAAAGCUCAGCGCUUACUAUGUGACAUGUUAGGAAGGGUUCGUCAAUCUAGCAAGAAGCCUAGGUGGAUCCUUCCUGAAAACUAUAACAAGCUACUUCAUUACUGGGCAACUAAUGAAAGAUUCUUACAACUGAGUGACAUAGGGAAGAAGGCUAGAAAUUCGACGAAGGGUGGCUCCCUACACACUAGUGGGGCUAUGAGUCAAGAGGCCGUAAGGAGGAAGCUGGCAAGUCUACAUUAACUCUACUUGAAGGAUUGUGAAUUUACUUUAUUUUCUUUUAGUCUUAUCAUUUACUUAUUCUUUUGCAGGAACUAAAACGGGGGACGCCAGUGCCUCAAGAUGAGGCGUUCAAGAUCACUCACGUGAAGAAGAAGGCAAGCGCUAAUGAUCCAGAUGACUGGUGUGACGAACGGGCUAAGCAGACCUACAAUCAGGUUCAACAGUCAAAGGCAGAGUUUCUUCGUACUCAGCCACCCAACACACAGCUGACACAAGAACAAAUUGAGGAAAGGUGGCUUGAGAGUGUUGGUGGUCCCACUAGGUUUGGCACAGCUUACAGAAUGCCACAUCGUGCAUUUCGUCAAUACCGGUCGCCCCUUGAAGGCCUACAUUCUUCUAAUACCGAGUCGUUCGAUAGAGUGAGUGCUAUGGCCAUGGAGCAAAAGAUUGCCGAGCUAUCUAGCCGCCCUACGGGCCUCGAGAAAAGGGAGAGGCGGAGGGACAUGCAGUUUGACGGUAUGAGGGCCCAAUUAGACGCAUUACUAGCUUCGAGAGGGAUUCCCUCGUGUCCUGAUGAUGCUCGUAACCCCCAUACUCAAUGUAGUGGUGCGGAUGAUGAUGGGACUCACGUGUCAAACACACAAAGGCAUGUUUGAAUGUUAAUGUUAUGGUGGAUUUGUGGAUUUGCGAGGGGUAAAGUAGUCUAGUGUUGUAAACUAACUUAGUGUAGACUAGUUUAAUGUUUUGUGGAUGUUUACCAAUGUUGAAGUAGUUUAAUGUUGUUUUGAUGUUUGCGAAGGUUGAAGUAGCUUAAUUAAUGUCUCUUGUGAAUGUUUGAUUGACGUUUUUAUUCAACUUUGAAGUAGUUUUCAAUUGAAUUUGAUGUUUUGGUGGUUGUAAUAUAUGUGUUGUAAUAGUAGCUUAUUGUUUUAUGUAUUUAUAGUAGUUUGGUGUAUUGUUGGCAGCUAUUUGGGCUCGUUUUAGUUGAAAGUAAAAUUAUUUUCAUCUUGA